AUUGAACGCUGGCGGCAUGCCUUACACAUGCAAGUCGAACGGCAGCACGGGUGCUUGCACCUGGUGGCGAGUGGCGAACGGGUGAGUAAUACAUCGGAACAUGUCCUGUAGUGGGGGAUAGCCCGGCGAAAGCCGGAUUAAUACCGCAUACGAUCUACGGAUGAAAGCGGGGGACCUUCGGGCCUCGCGCUAUAGGGUUGGCCGAUAGCUGAUUAGCUAGUUGGGGGGGUAAAGGCCUACCAAGGCGACGAUCAGUAGCUGGUCUGAGAGGACGACCAGCCACACUGGGGCUGAGACACGGCCCAGACUCCUACGGGAGGCAGCAGUGGGGAAUUUUGGACAAUGGGCGAAAGCCUGAUCCAGCAAUGCCGCGUGUGUGAAGAAGGCCUUCGGGUUGUAAAGCACUUUUGUCCGGAAAGAAAUCCUUGGCUCUAAUACAGUCGGGGGAUGACGGUACCGGAAGAAUAAGCACCGGCUAACUACGUG
rnacentral:rRNA from 1 species